CCUACGGGUGGCAGCAGUGGGGAAUAUUGGACAAUGGGGGCAACCCUGAUCCAGCCAUGCCGCGUGUGUGAAGAAGGCCCUCGGGUUGUAAAGCACUUUCAGUGAGGAAGAACGCCUGGUGGUUAAUACCCAUCAGGAAAGACAUCACUCACAGAAGAAGCACCGGCUAACUCCGUGCCAGCAGCCGCGGUAUACGGAGGGUGCGAGCGUUAAUCGGAAUUACUGGGCGUAAAGCGCGCGUAGGUGGCUUGAUAAGCCGGUUGUGAAAGCCCCGGGCUCAACCUGGGAACGGCAUCCGGAACUGUCAAGCUAGAGUGCAGGAGAGGAAGGUAGAAUUCCCGGUGUAGCGGUGAAAUGCGUAGAGAUCGGGAGGAAUACCAGUGGCGAAGGCGGCCUUCUGGACUGACACUGACACUGAGGUGCGAAAGCGUGGGUAGCAAACAGGAUUAGAUACCCUAGUAGUC
rnacentral:rRNA from 1 species